GCUUCUAAAGGAUACAGAUCCUCCCCGUU
rnacentral:tRNA from 1 species